GCAUCGCGGGGCUGGACUUUAUGGUAAGCCCUCACGUCAUCUCACGGAAGUUUCAAUUUCAAGACAAGCUUAGUGCCACUUAGGCUACACCAGCCAGCAAGCAACAGUCUUUGUAUUAGUGCAACCAAACAUGUUAAGGAGUCGCUCCUAAGUUGAGAAUCAUCGCCAACAUCGCGGCGAAAAAGAUCCACCUCUGACAAGCAUUGUUCUCACGAAGGGACGACGAGGAAAGACGGGAAGCCAUGCUAACUGCUAAGCUAACCUAAGGUUCACACGUAACCAUGAAACAAAGGAAUGAAUUGCUUGGGUGAUUGUGUUCACUUUUCACCGAAGUCUGGCUGGAACCGGGUUACAGUUGGGCGUAUGCAACGCUGAACGACAAAAUAGCAGGCAAUUAAUAAGUGGCAUCUUUAAAAAAUGUUUGCUUUGCUACAGGGCCAUACAACCUAUUCAGAAAUAUUAAAUUGUUUUAUGGUCGUGUAAAAUUUAGUAGUUUAAAGAAGCCAUUCUUUAAUUUUUAUAUGCUGUAAAAUAAUGUUAUUUUCCCGCUGAGUACCCCUGAAGCGUUACGUUCUCUUUUCUUGUGUUCUGCUACUAUCUUGUGGCGGAUGAAGUAAUUACAUCACUGGUAGAUUUUUCUUUUUUAAAGGUUAAAUUGAAAGGAGGAUGGUAAACGUAUGUUUUGGACAACUACGGGGAGAAAAAAAAGUGUAACAAGCUUAUAUUGUGCUGUUGACGAAUGAGAAUGCCAUAAAUUGGGUCCACUAAAGUCCGUAGGCAGACCGAAUAGCCAAAAUAAUUGACCCGAAAUAAGUGGUGACAAAUGAUGACCACCGUGCAGGCAGAGAUGAUUAUUUACAUAGUCAUAAAUAAUGUUACUCUAGCAGAUUUAACUACAGAAAAUGCCCUCCAAUUUUGGAAUGACCCAAAGACUGACAACCUUCCACACUCGCAUUCAUAACUAUACGAAACACGUGGUCACCGUGCUGACCAUUUUAAAUAUGUUCCAUUUAAAUAUUUGAGCCUGACAAUAAAUAUAUUGUUUUACUGUAAUAUUAUGACGAAAUGGACUAGGUUUGGAACACGCUUAAAAAAGGAAAGCUUUUGAAUAAACACAAUGGGAUCCAUAUGGCAAUAUUGGCAUGACUACGUAAUAAGAUAAAUGACUUCUAGCCAUGUGCUCUAAGGCAUUAAUAGAGUUAUCGUCACGAGUGACACAAACCUGAAGUAAAUUGACACCAACAUCAGCUGAAGCAUAAACCACAAAUUGUCAACGAACAAUGAAGCCUAACUCGUUGACACUAACUUAACACACAAUUUCAACCCUCAUACAAACGCAGUCGCACAUAGAGAGAUAGAUGGAUAGCCAUCAAUUAUAAUCAUUUCAACCCUAUCCAUGAAAGCAUGUGACAUCUGUCAGGGUGUUCCCAUAUAAACGCGAACUUUGCUCAGUUUUAAUAACGCGCUGUAAAUAUACAGUAUGUAAAAAAAAAAAGUCCAGCAUGUCAACAGAAACAAAACUCCCCAUCCGAAGUGGUGCGUUUGAGUAUUAUUUGGAAAACUGUAAAAUCGUUUUUUAAGACUAAGGAGUAAAGUGGAUGUGUUAAAUGCCAGUAAAAAAUAAUUCUACAGUAAUAAAAGUAUUGAAGAGCCAUAUCCACGUGUUAAAGGGUGUUUUAAAUGGUUCGCGUGUACAAAUAAUGACCUUGGCGGCGAGUGAAGAUACGUGAAUUCCGUUUGUCUUUGAAGGCAGCAAGCGUCGGCCGCGCCCCUCCUCCACUCCCCGGCUUCAGGUAACUUUGUCCCGGGUUUCUGAGUUCCGUACGUGUCGGCCGCCACUCUCCUUCCAGCCAGGUUAGGCCAACGGGGCAGACAUCAGCCAUGGCCGAGUCCCAGCUCGUGUGCAUGGAGGACGGCCGAAUCGGCGUCCAGGUGCCGGAGACGCGGCCGGAGUUCUACUACAGCGAGGAGCAGCGCGCCGCCAUCGAGGAGCUCCUUAAGAACGGCGACGGUGCCUUCAAAAUGCGCCUCAAGGACGACAACAUGAAAGACUUUUUAUCCGCCAGAGAGGUGAAAAUGUUGAACAACAACUUCAGACACUACGACGGAGCCGGGGAGGGGGACGGACAUGCGACCGGGGGGUCGUCUCCGUCCUCGGACUCGGGGGUCCACUCCACCUACUGGCCGCAGAUGUCCGACACCGAGGUGCCGCCGCUGGACAUCGGCUGGCCCAGCUGGGGCUUCUUCAAGGGGGUGACCCGAGUGGCGGUCCACACGCACCCGCCCAAGGACAACGGACCCCAUAUCAAGGAGGUGGUGCGCAGGCUCAUCCAGGGGGCCAGCAAGGUGAUCGCCAUCGUGAUGGACCUGCUCACCGACCUCCAGAUCCUGCAGGACCUGAUGGACGCCGCCUGGCGCCGCUCGGUGCCCAUCUACAUCCUGCUGGACAACCACGGCGUGCCGCACUUCCUGGACAUGUGCUCCCGGCUGCACAUCGGCGCCCAGCACCUGCGGAACAUCCGUGCCAGAACCCUCACGGGGGUGGGCUUCAACUUGUCCUUCGGCAGACUCCCGGGCUCCAUGUGCUCCAAGUAUAUGCUGGUGGAUGGAGAGAAGGUGGUCUUUGGAUCCUACAGCUUCUCGUGGUCCACGUCGCGCAUGGACCGCAACACCAUCACGGUGAUGACGGGCCAAGUGGUGGAGUUCUUCGACCAGGACUUCCGUGAGCUCUACGCCGUGUCGGAGAAGCUGGACCUCUUCCGCGAGUUCCACGUGAGCCCACCGGCCAACGUCAGCGCCACCGUGCGCGCCAAGGCGGGCCCCAAGCGCCCCCCGCUUCCCGCCACCACAUCCCGCUUCCAAGUCAGCCUGGGCGACGCCCGCAAAGUCAACAACAUCGAGGUCCCCGCUCACAAGUACUACAACCCCAAGUACUUCCUGUUGUUCCCGGACGUGCCGCAUCCGGCCAGGUCCCUCCAAGGGCCGACCAAACCGUCUGAGCUCUUGCGGCUCACCGUGCCCCAGGACCCGGUCACCAGUAGCGAGAAGCUGGACCGGCUCAGCCCGCUCCCGUCGGAAGCCCCCGUGGAGUUCUUCAAGAAACCCAACGGGGUCCCGCAGGAGAAGAAGAGACUGACGCUGAAGCAGAAGAUCACCAAGAGGUUGUCGUCCAGCAAGCUGUCCGUCAACAGCGGCAGGUCCAGCCCCGCCCCCGCCGGAUCCACAGAAUACCUGGAGAGCCAGGACCACCUGGAGGUGAAGGUCAAGUCGCCCCCCGGCAGGCUCAGGCUCCUCAAGAGGCCGUCCACGCUCGGGCCCAGGACCGACUCUGUGCAGACGGUCGACACCACGCAAGACAACUUGAGUGAGUGAUGCCGACGUGACGUGAAGUCGGAUGGCGGAAGGAAGUCGUGCUCUUGCUCGAAAAAGCAUGAAGAGUCACCAUCGAUCUAAGCAAGUCUGCAAAGUGUCCUGAGCUCUCGUCUUGGACGAAGAUUGUUGUUUUUUUUCUCCCCUCAAGUGUAUUUGAAACGGUUUACAAGCACUAAAUUCACUUUUGUUCGCAUGCGUCUUGGACAUCCUGCUGCUAACUGGAAGUAGCGCGCUCGCGGAACAGCUGACCAAUCAAAGUGGCGAUAAAAACAAGAGUGCCUUCUUCAUUGUUGUAGAAAAAAUAAAAUAACUUGGACAGUA